GUGAACGCUGGCGGUAGGCCUAACACAUGCAAGUCGAACGGCAGCACAGUAAGAGCUUGCUCUUACGGGUGGCGAGUGGCGGGCGGGUGAGGAAUACAUCGGAAUCUACUUUUUCGUGGGGGAUAACGUAGGGAAACUUACGCUAAUACCGCAUACGACCUACGGGUGAAAGCAGGGGAUCUUCGGACCUUGCGCGAUUGAACGAGCCGAUGUCGGAUUAGCUAGUUGGCGGGGUAAAGGCCCACCAAGGCGACGAUCCGUAGCUGGUCUGAGAGGAUGAUCAGCCACACUGGAACUGAGACACGGUCCAGACUCCUACGGGAGGCAGCAGUGGGGAAUAUUGGACAAUGGGCGCAAGCCUGAUCCAGCCAUACCGCGUGGGUGAAGAAGGCCUUCGGGUUGUAAAGCCCUUUUGUUGGGAAAGAAAAGCAGCAGGUUAAUACCCCGCUGUUCUGACGGUACCCAAAGAAUAAGCACCGGCUAACUUCGUG
rnacentral:rRNA from 1 species